rnacentral:rRNA from 1 species
GUGGGGAAUUUUGGACAAUGGGGGCAACCCUGAUCCAGCCAUUCCGCGUGAGUGAAGAAGGCCUUCGGGUUGUAAAGCUCUUUUGUCCGGAGCGAAAAGGUUACGGUGAAUAUCCGUGACUACUGACGGUACCGGAAGAAUAAGCACCGGCUAACUACGUGCCAGCAGCCGCGGUAAUACGUAGGGUGCGAGCGUUAAUCGGAAUUACUGGGCGUAAAGCGUGCGCAGGCGGUUUUGUAAGCCAGAUGUGAAAGCCCCGGGCUUAACCUGGGAAUGGCAUUUGGGACUGCAAGGCUGGAGUGUGGCAGAGGAGACUGGAAUUCCUGGUGUAGCAGUGAAAUGCGUAGAUAUCAGGAGGAAUACCGAUGGCGAAGGCAGGUCUCUGGGCUGACACUGACGCUCAUGCACGAAAGCGUGGGGAGCAAACAGGAUUAGAAACCCGGGUAGUCC